UGGGAUGUAACUCAGUGGUAGAGUGCUUGCUUAGCAUGCACGAGGUCCUAGGUUUGAUCCCUAGCAACACAC
rnacentral:tRNA from 1 species